rnacentral:rRNA from 1 species
GACGAACGCUGGCGGCGUGCUUAAUACAUGCAAGUAGAACGCACAGUUUAUACCGUAGCUUGCUACACCAUAGACUGUGAGUUGCGAACGGGUGAGUAACGCGUAGGUAACCUGCCUGGUAGCGGGGGAUAACUAUUGGAAACGAUAGCUAAUACCGCAUAAUAUUAAUUAUUGCAUGAUAAUUAAUUGAAAGGUGCAAUUGCACCACUACCAGAUGGACCUGCGUUGUAUUAGCUAGUAGGUGAGGUAACGGCUCACCUAGGCGACGAUACAUAGCCGACCUGAGAGGGUGAUCGGCCACACUGGGACGGAGACACGGCCCAGACUCCUACGGGAGGCAGCAGUAGGGAAUCUUCGGCAAUGGACGAAAGUCUGACCGAGCAACGCCGCGUGAGUGAAGAAGGUUUUCGGAUCGUAAAGCUCUGUUGUAAGAGAAGAACGGGUGUGAGAGUGGAAAGUUCACACUGUGACGGUAUCUUACCAGAAAGGGACGGCUAACUACGUG